CUUCCUGCUUUCAAAGUUGCAAUGAGCGCAGAGCGGUGCGCCCGAGGGGGUUGAAGCGUUGAAAGUGUGUUACCCAGAUUUUAUCUGAGUUAAACACGGGCCGGCCGCUGUGGCUCACGUCUGUACUCCCAGAGCCUUGGGAGGUCGAGGCGGGAAGAUCGCUUGAGCCCGGGAGCUCGAGACCAGACGCGGCAACAUGGCGAGACGCACAUCUCUGCCUUUAAAAAUGUACAUAUAUAUAUAUAUAUAUGAACGUAUUAAUAAAUUAGGUGGGAGGAAGUGACCUCCUCCGCCCAAAUAAAAAUACUUAAAGGGCACUUGAAUCUGGAUCUCAGAAAAUGAAUAAUUUCUUAGUAUAAACGUCCUGUGCACCAUUUGGUUGGGACAAGAGAGGCUGGCGGUUACCUUUCUUGGGGAGACGCGUCCGACUGCUUCAUUGUGGGGGCCUCAGGAGCGGAGGAUCGGGUCCCGCCCGAGGUGACGCGUAAACCCAGACUCUCAGCAACGCGGGUAGGAAGGACCCUUGAAGUUCCGCGGCGACCACGUCGGCUGAAACCAGCAGCCCAGGACAAGUGGACCAGCCAGCAAGACCCAGACCAUCCAAACCGGCUGAUCCUACGACAGGACCCAGAUGCCAGUGAAAGUGACCACAGCCCUGCUCUAGUCACCCCGGAAGCUGACCAGUCUACGCACGGCCGAAGCUUCGUCAAGGAAGCCUCCACCCCUCGAAUUCCCAGUUCACCGACACCAGCCUGGGGAUCACCUCCUU
rnacentral:lncRNA from 10 species